CCUACGGGUGACAGCAGUGAGGAAUAUUGGUCAAUGGCCGGAAGGCUGAACCAGCCAUGCCGCGUGAAGGUCAGUGCCCUAUGGGCGUUAAACUUCUUUUGUGCGGGAGCAAUAAUGGUCACGUGUGGCCAGACGAGAGUACCGUACGAAUAAGCAUCGGCUAACUCCGUGCCGGCAGCAGCGGUAAUACGGGGGAUGCAAGCGUUAUCCGGAUAUAAUGGGUUUAAGGGGUGCGUAGGAUGGGAGGUAAGUCAGCGGUGAAAUGCCCCCGCUCAGCGGGGUGAAGUGCCAUUGAUACUGCCUUGCUGGAAUGCGGAUGCCGUGGGAGGAAUGUGUGGUGUAGCGGUGAAAUGCAUAGAUAUCACACAGAACACCGAUUGCGAAGGCAUCUCACGAAUCCGCGAUUGACGCUGAUGCACGAAAGCGUGGGUAUCAAACAGGAUUAGAUAGCCCAGUAGUC
rnacentral:rRNA from 1 species